rnacentral:pre_miRNA from 1 species
AAACCGCCUCCUAAGUUUUGCAACUGUAGCAGUUUUGGCCCCCCAAGGCUAAUUUUUGAUAAAAAAAAAUAACACGCGACACCUCACUUAGGUGCUACAUCAGCGUAGACCGAGUCAAAAUUGACCUUGGGGGCCAAAACUGGCACAUAUGCAAAACUUAAGAGGCGGUUU